rnacentral:rRNA from 1 species
UACGAAAGGGGGGCUAGCGUUGCUCGGAAUCACUGGGCGUAAAGGGUGCGUAGGCGGAUCUUUUAAGUCAGGGGUGAAAUCCUGGAGCUCAACUCCAGAACUGCCUUUGAUACUGGGGGAUCUCGAGUCCGGGAGAGGUGAGUGGAACUCCGAGUGUAGAGGUGAAAUUCGUAGAUAUUCGGAAGAACACCAGUGGCGAAGGCGGCUCACUGGCCCGGUACUGACGCUGAGGUGCGAAAGCGUGGGGAGCAAACAGG